rnacentral:rRNA from 1 species
GCGGCGUGCAUAACACAUGCAAGUCGAACGAUGAAACUUAAAUGAUCUCCUCGGAGUGAACUUAAGUGGAUUAGUGGCGGACGGGUGAGUAACGCGUGAGUAACCUGCCUUAGAGAAGGGGAUAGCCUUUGGAAACGAAGAAUAAUACCCUAUGACAUGAUAGCCUCGCAUGAGAUUAUCAUCAAAGAUUUAUCGCUCUAAGAUGGACUUGCGUCUGAUUAGUUAGUUGGUGGGGUAACGGCCCACCAAGACAGCGAUCAGUAGCCGGCUUGAGAGAGUGUACGGCCACAUUGGGACUGAGACACGGCCCAGACUCCUACGGGAGGCAGCAGUGGGGAAUUUUGCACAAUGGGGGAAACCCUGAUGCAGCGACGCCGCGUGAUUUAGAAGGCCUUCGGGUUGUAAAAAUCUUUUCUAUGGGAAGAACAUGACAGUACCAUAGGAAUAAGGACCGG